rnacentral:rRNA from 1 species
GAUGAACGCUCGCGGGAGGCCUAACACAUGCAAGCCGAGCGGUAUUGUUUCUUCGGAAAUGAGAGAGCGGCGUACGGGUGCGGAACACGUGUGCAACCUGCCUUUAUCUGGGGGAUAGCCUUUCGAAAGGAAGAUUAAUACUCCAUAACAUAUUGAACGGCAUCGUUCGAUAUUGAAAGCUCCGGCGGAUAGAGAUGGGCACGCGCAAGAUUAGCUAGUUGGUGAGGUAACGGCUCACCAAGGCGAUGAUCUUUAGGGGGCCUGAGAGGGUGAUCCCCCACACUGGUACUGAGACACGGACCAGACUCCUACGGGAGGCAGCAGUGAGGAAUAUUGGUCAAUGGGUGCAAGCCUGAACCAGCCAUCCCGCGUGAAGGACGACUGCCCUAUGGGUUGUAAACUUCUUUUGUAUAGGGAUAAACCUGCCCUCGUGAGGGUAGCUGAAGGUACUAUACGAAUAAGCACCGGCUAACUCCGUG